rnacentral:rRNA from 1 species
AGGUGCGAUCAUACCAACACUAAUGCACCGGAUCCCAUCAGAACUCCGCAGUCAAGCGUGCUUGGGCGAGAGUAGAACUAGGAUGGGUGACCUCCUGGGAAGUCCUCGUGUUGCACUUC